rnacentral:lncRNA from 1 species
UCGUAGCUUAGGACAUUUAAAACAAGAUGACCAUUUGAUCUUGCAGUUGCAGUUGCAGCUGCAACAUGAGCUCUUCUUAUUAAGACAUGAUGGUCGACUGCAACUGCGGAAACAGGUGGGUAUGCAACAACAUAAGUCCGGACAAGAACAACAGCAACCUCGGAAGCAUGAACAGCUCGGGCAGCUCGGUUUCGGGCAACAACAGCAACCUCGGAAGCAUGAACAGCUCGGGCAGCUCAGGCAUUUGGGGCAGCUCGGUUUCGGGCAACAACAGCUGUUUGAGCAGCAGGACCCGUUGAAGCAUUUGGAACCAACGCAGCUACAGCAUGUGGAGUUGCAGCAUUUUGGCUUCCUCAGAUGGCACGAACACUCGGAUCGGCAACAACAGCAGAAACUCGCCACGCUCAAACACGGGAAACUGCAUAAAGUUGUUUAAUUAGUAUUAUCUUUUUGUUAUUCACUCUAGCCAUCUAAGAUCAAGCAUUGUCCAAGAAAUAAUUUUUUGGAUAAUAUUAACUAGGACUCUCAAACAUUUAACUAAUAUUGUAAAUUUAUUAUUUUUGAAAUAAAGGGUCCCCAGAUUUAUAUUCACAUUUAAAAAAGAAAUUUAAAUAAAGAGGUUAUGCAAAUUCACCAGAGACACUUCUAUAUUGGUCACAAGGAAAAUGAGAUUAAUUUACCAGAGCCACUUCCAGAACCGGCAGUGUCGUCGACUCUUUCGUUGUCUGCCCGGAUGAGGAAAAGAAAACAACGGUAAGUGUAAGAGCAGUCAGAGUAAGAGUGAUGUUAAGUCACCAAGUGAACUUUAAAAAUAUUCUUACGCAGGUAUCAUUGGGUCAGAAUUUGCAACCACAAAAUCAGAGACCCUGCCACAUAAAUGAGAUUCCAUAUAACAUAUUUUUUUAAUCAAAUAAACUAAACUGAAUAAAAACUGAUGUAAUGUUUGAAAGAUAAAGAUAUCAUCUUACUCUUUGCAGCAUCUGGACGACGGUUGCAAGCCUUCGACAAAUUUAAUUUCUCCCUGCUCAUGUCAACAGUCGAAAUAUCAGAUUAAGAAACUUUAUUUAACUAACUGAAAACUUCAUUAUCUUGAAAAAAUGCGAACAGCUAAUUUCAUAAUGGGACUAAACACAACAAUAUUUUUCACAUUUCAAUAGUCUCAGGAGAAACUAAACCUAAACAGUGUAAAAAUUCUUUUAUCUCUCAAAAUAUAUGAAAAAUACAGUAUAGAGAGUAAACAUAAUGGGAUAGUGUUACAAAAAAAAAAGAGUAAACAUAAGGGAGAUCUAUGAAAGCAACAUGACGAAAAGGUGAACAUGUAUAUGGUCCUUUCAAACGCAAAUAGCAAUAAAGACAAAAACUUUCACAAAUUGAUUCAUUAUAAAUAUAAAAACUGCAAAGGAAGCUAAUCAAAUUCAAUAUGUUUAUUUUUUAAGAUCUACUCAGCUUUCUUUCUACUUUGCUUCUCUAAUGCUUCACUCUUUCUCUCUUUUUCUUUUCUUCUUUUUCUUUAUAUUUUACUUUUAAUACUCUCUUUGACUAAGCACUUACUUUCAUAGUACACAUGCACGAACUAACACCUACGCCUCAGUGAUCCAAAAACCAGUAAAUGGACGUCUCAUAAAUCACUUCACACUACAAGAUGAUCAAACUUUUUUGUUAAUUUUAUUACUUAAUUUUCAAAGUUUGCCGGUUCAUGUCCCCGCGAGGUGGAGGCUACGUUUAGCUCUGCCGUCGUCGGUCUAGAUUACGGGGGGUGAAGGUGUUCCAUGCCUUGCCUCGCCGUCGGUUAGUUCCCUCGUUUAAUUUUUUAGGGUUUAGUCGGUUUCUUUCCUUUUAGUGUUGUCGAUUUUGGUUGGUUUGGAUUGGUGGUGACGACGUCGGAGGACAAUCGAAGCUCGACCAAGGUUAACGGUGAUGGUUCCCGCGAAGUCUUCCUCUCGGUGAUUGCGACGAAUGGUGACGGAUGAGAUCUCAAUUUGUCGAGUGAUACUCUCUGAAAUUGGGCUCACUUCUGUCGAAGACGGUUGGCGGUGGUGAUGGUGUGGAGUCAGUGAGCUCCGGUGGAUCCGAGUGAACCGACGGUUGGUUUCCCAUGUUGAUUCGAAGCGAGGGCGACGUCGAUGCCGCAGCGUGUGUCCGCGUGGCGGCGAAGCCUCGUGGGUGUUAGGGUUUCUGUUGGUGGGCUUUAGGUCCAGAAGUUUAAUGUUUUUUGGCCUAGUUUUUAUGGGCUUAUGUAUGUUUUUUAACGAGGGUUUUUAGAUUCAUUAAUCCAAAAUCUAUUGACGGAAAAAAAAAUAUAUUUGAAUAUCGAUUUGUAGACCGGUUUUACCAGGAAAAUAAUAAUUGCAAAAACAUGAAUGAGAUAAACAUCGAGGACAACAAGCAAAGAGUGUCAGUAAUAUAAUUCACAUAAUGCAUCGAGCCAUAUGAGAAAAAUUGACAAGUUGCAUUUAAUAAUUUUGCAGCACUUUGCAGAGAGGUCCAGUGCUCUGCAUUUUCUCUCCUAUCUGACACCUUUUUGUACCCUAAGUUUCAUCUAUUUCCGAUUUCGACCCCUCUUUUUAACAUCGUGACACAGACAACACCUCUGUGUUUUCUCUAAUGGGACCUAUAACACACAAUAAAAAGUAGAAAAGACCUUCACUUCUGACUUCUGAUCACCAAGUUGGAUCCGUACCGUACAUACCCAGAAACCCUUGAUCAGUUAUUACGCAAACCUAUACGAUUUAUAUUUUUUCACCAUGAAAUCUAUUUAUUUACCUCUCUCUCUCUCUGCUGAAUCAUUCUCUCUGACUUCUUUGAUCAAAAAAAGAGAAUACUAUAAUUUAGCCAUUGAUACGAAUAUAUCUAAGAUCUUUUUUCGAUAACCAUUGGACAGAAUCAAUGAUCUUAAUGUCGGAUCGUCUGUUACAGACGUUUCAUCAGUUUUGUAUCUAGUUGUGUCCUACGAAUGUCGUUGGUUAUAGUUUGGUGCUCACUCCUGAUUGGUUUCAGACUGGUAGAAAGUUUACAAACCAAACCGAUAUCAUUGCUUGACCGGUUUACUUGAACAAGCAUGUGAACUGUAUUAUAUUUCCCUCAUUGAGCUAAAUGCACUACGUGCCAAUGGAUUCAAAAUUAUUUUUGAAAUUACCAUAUUGAACUCAUUCUUUGCAAGAUAGAUUCUUUAACAAGACUUUAAAUGUCUCUUAAAUGGUCGGGAACAUAUGUAUAACAUGUAAAUAUCAUCUUAUAUUAACUUGUGUUUAUGAUUUCAAAUUAAACGAAUAAUAUACUAAAAUGAUAAAACAUAGAUCAUUCUAGACAAUGAAUGGCAGGAUAACUUAAAAUAAAAAAUGAUGUAAUUGUGUACUGAGUUGGUUCAAAUAAUAGCGCAUAGUUACGUUGGAAAGUUCAGAGAAAUUCUAAGAAAGGAAGAAUACAGAGACAUAUAUAUAUAUAUAUAUGAUCGGAAUUAUUCUUUUUGUGCCAUUGGAUUGUUCCCUCUUUCUUCUUUUUUUGCGCAUUCGCCUCAACGAAGACUGGUUGUGGUCGAAGGUAGCUGUCUAGCUUUGAAGAACAAUUUAACUUGUCUGUAUUCACCUUUCAUACUAAAAUGGUGAAACGUGAAACUUUCAAAAAUCUCAAAUUUGAUGGGAAGCUUAACAACUGGUACCAAAGAAUAAAGAAGAACACUUUGUUAAUUGUUCCAAAAUGAAAGAGUAAUUAGAUUAAUGAAUAUCAUAUUUUCAGUUUGGGAGAUCAGAUCUACAGUAUAAAGCUGAGAGCAGACUUGGUUUCUAUACACUGCCGUAGAUUAUAUAUUUUAAGCCAGACUAGUUCAUUUGAUCAUCUCAGACGUACGUUUUUGUGUUCUAGAAUUCCGCAGCGGAAAAGGUAUGUAAUUUUUUGAGAUAAAUACAUAAUUUUUAUGUAUUUUAGCUGACUUUAUGUUGCCGUUGACCACGAUAAUUAUGAUACCUUUGUGUUUUUCUGGUCACUUAUUCACUUAAUUAUUUUGUAUGCUGACAUACCUCAUGGGAGGUUCGCUUGAUAUAAAUCAUCACUUACAAACAAAAAAUAUUCAUACGUUUACAAAAUCAAAAAGAGUUAUAGAUAAAUAGCUAUAAUAAUAAUAAUACUAAUAUUAACAACAGUAAUAAUAAUAAUAAUAAUGUUUAGAAAGCUAAACAACAAGGAUUAGAACAUGUAUUUUUACAAUUGCAAAAACAACAACAAAGUCGUAGCUUAGGACAUUUAAAACAAGAUGACCAUUUGAUCUUGCAGAUGCAGUUGCAGCUGCAACAUGAGCUCUUCUUAUUAAGACAUGAUGGUCGACUGCAACUGCGGAAACAGGUGGGUAUGCAACAACAUAAGUCCGGACAAGAACAACAGCAACCUCGGAAGCAUGAACAGCUCGGGCAGCUCGGUUUCGGGCAACAACAGCAACCUCGGAAGCAUGAACAGCUCGGGCAGCUCAG